rnacentral:rRNA from 1 species
NNUUCCCNGUACCUGGCGGCGUGCCUAACACAUGCANGUCGAGCGAGAAAGCUCCUUCGGGAGUGAGUACAGCGGCGGACGGGUGAGUAAUACGUGAGAAUCUACCCUUUAGUGAAGAAUACCUCCGAGAAAUUGGAGUUAAUUCUGCAUACGUCCCUUCGGGGAGAAAGAUGGCCUCUUUGCUGUCGCUAAAGGAUGAGCUUGCGCGCUAUUANCUUGUUGGUGGGGUAAAGGCCUACCAAGGCUUUGAUGGCUAGCCGGCCUGAGAGGGUGUACGGCCACACUGGAACUUANACACGGUCCAGACUCCUACGGGAGGCAGCAGUGGGGAAUAUUGCGCAAUGGGCGAAAGCCUGACGCUGCGACGCCGCGUGGGGGAUGAAGGCUCUANAGUCUAAACUCCUGUUAAGUGGGAAAAAANCUUAUUCUAUACACUAANCAUGACGGUCCUUAAAAAANNCCGCUACUCNNCCNCACCNCGGAUACAAGGGGUNCANCUUUUCNAAUCUUNGCCUAAGGUCCUAACGCUCUA